rnacentral:tRNA from 1 species
CAAGGGGUAGUUUAAUGAGAAUGUCAGCUUUGGGAGCUGAGGGCAGGAGUUAAAGUCUCUUCUCCUUGA